UCCAGCAACUGAUACCCUUUGUGGAGGAUGACAACUCCAAACACGAGGAUCGCUCGGCCGGCCAGAGCCGCCCCCCCACCGAGGAGAGGAGAGAAAUCCUGGAGGUCAACAAGAAGCUGAAACAGAAGAACCAGCAGCUGAAGCAGAUCAUGGACCAACUGCGCAACCUCAUCUGGGAGAUCAACUCCAUGCUGGCAGUCAGGAGCUGAGACACUCACACACACACACACACACACACACACACACACACACACACACACACACACACACACACACACACACACACACACACACAAAAACUACACCCAAUGGUGGGUGCAGCGGUUUGGACGUUGACUGGAUGUGUAACAGGGUACCACAUGCUGGCUGAGGCUGCACUUUACCGAAGACAUUGGGACUUUGGCAAUAUCAACCCGUUUCCUGAAGAAGACCUGAAACAAUGGAAGGAAAGAUUAGAGCGAGACACAUGAAGACUGAGAGGAAGGUGUGGACGAUGGCAGAAGAUAUUCUGUUUACCUCAAUAUCCUGUAUUUUAAUCAACUAAAUAAUAAUCCGAAGAGUUGUUAUAUUAUGUUUUAUCUAUUUGUAGCUACUAGCUCAGCAGAGGGUUUAUGCCUGUAGAAAUACAUUGUAUUUAAUCUUUUGUCAUAGUUUUAGAACUUUGUGAAGCCCUACAUUAAGAAACAUGAUUUUAUAUGGCCCCUAAAAACUUUAAAAAGAAGGAGAAACAGUAUGGCAAAAAUAAUGAGUCUAAUUCUGACUUGAUUUGUUUGAUAUGAAUGUAUGUGAUAUGUAAACUCAUCGAUGCUCUUCUCUGAUUGGACUUGACAUUUCAAUACAUGCCUUGUAAAGGAUUCUGCUGAACUAUAAAUCUUCCUGUGAUUUUU